rfam:Schizopora paradoxa strain KTC8140 unplaced genomic scaffold SCHPAscaffold_00067, whole genome shotgun sequence.
UCCCGCUUAGCUCAGUGGUAGAUGCGCUUCACUAGUAAUGAAGAGGUCACUAGUUCAAAUCUGGUAGUGGGAA